GACGAACGCUGGCGGCGUGCUCAACACAUGCAAGUCGAACGAUGAAGCCGGAGCUUGCUCUGGUGAAUUAGUGGCGAACGGGUGAGUAACACGUGAGUAACCUGUCCUUGACUCUGGGAUAACUGCGGGAAACUGUAGCUAAUACCGGAUACGACCCUCGGAGGCAUCUCCUGGGGGUGGAAAGAAUUUCGGUCAAGGAUGGACUCGCGGCCUAUCAGCUAGUUGGUGAGGUAAAGGCUCACCAAGGCGACGACGGGUAGCCGGCCUGAGAGGGUGACCGGCCACACUGGGACUGAGACACGGCCCAGACUCCUACGGGAGGCAGCAGUGGGGAAUAUUGCACAAUGGGCGCAAGCCUGAUGCAGCAACGCCGCGUGAGGGAUGACGGCCUUCGGGUUGUAAACCUCUUUUAGCAGGGAAGAAGCGAAAGUGACGGCACCUGCAGAAAAAGCACCGGCUAACUACGUGCCAGCAGCCGCCGUAA
rnacentral:rRNA from 1 species